GCGUGACAUUAGCUAGUUGGUAGGGUAACGGCCUACCAAGGCUACGAUGUCUAGGGGUUCUGAGAGGAAGGUCCCCCACACUGGUACUGAGACACGGACCAGACUCCUACGGGAGGCAGCAGUGAGGAAUAUUGGUCAAUGGGCGAGAGCCUGAACCAGCCAUCCCGCGUGCAGGAAGACGGCCCUAUGGGUUGUAAACUGCUUUUGCGCAUGAAGAAUGUUACCGACGUGUCGGUAAGUGACGGUAAUGCGUGAAUAAGCAUCGGCUAACUCCGUGCCAGCAGCCGCGGUAAUACGGAGGAUGCAAGCGUUAUCCGGAUUUAUUGGGUUUAAAGGGUGCGUAGGCGGCCUUGUAAGUCAGUGGUGAAAACCUGCAGCUCAACUGUAGGCGUGCCAAUGAAACUGUGAGGCUUGAGUGACGUUGAGGCAGGCGGAAUGUGUAGUGUAGCGGUGAAAUGCUUAGAUAUUACACAGAACACCGAUUGCGUAGGCAGCUUGCUAAAGGUUAACUGACGCUGAUGCACGAAAGCGUGGGGAUCGAACAGGAUUAGAUACCCUGGUAGUCCACGCUGUAAACGAUGAUGACUCGCUGUUGGCGAUAUACAGUCAGCGGCUUAGCGAAAGCGAUAA
rnacentral:rRNA from 1 species